UAGUAUUAGGUUGACCAAGCGGCCCCAACACGUGGGGGUGCAGCCGGGCCAGCAAUGGCAACGGAGAUUUUAACCCGUGGGACAAUG
ncrna:unclassified sequences NiCo riboswitch